UCGGCCUCCCAAAGUGCUGGGAUUACAAGCAUGAGCCACCGCGCCCGGCCGCCUCUACCUUCUCUAAGCGAGUCUCAGCCAGGCUGGGGCUCCCAGGGGCACAGGGCUUCCACACUGAGGUCCCCAGCAAGCUGCCUGGUUUAGUUCAGGGUGCCUGCUACUUCCUGGCUGCAUGGGCUUGUCACGUCUCCUUUCUGCCCUCAACUUUCUCAUCUGUUAAAUGGGUAUGCCGGUGCCCAAAUCAUAGGGUUGUCAAAGCCUGCCUGAAGCAGGGCUCAGAGCGCACCACGAGGAAUUCAGACAGGAAAAGAGGAAACUGGGAAGGCUCUGCGUGGGAAGGGGGUGGGAUAGCCUGGAUUUGGGACGCAAGGCAUGUGCUAAGGAGGUGGAGCUAGGAGAGGUGGGGCGUGCAGAGGUGCCUCUGAGGGCCAGGCUGGCAGUGGAAUUUGCUGCAGAACUCUCAGCUUGCACAGGCCUGCCUGGGAGGGGUUCAGAGGCCUAAACAAAGCAGGGAGCCGGCAGGGAGGGGGUAAGGGAAGGAACCUCUAAGAGAAGGAACAGUCCUCUCCCGGGGCACCCACUCCCCACCUAGGUGCAGCGCCUCUCCCCAAACACACGUGCUGCCAAGCCCUUCAUCAGUCACCCUGGCACUGACAUCCAUAAAUCCCAUUAGUCACACCGCCACAAACACAUCCAGUCCCAGGCAGACAAAGACACGGGGCCCCAAAGCGGCUGUGUCUGUCCCCAGUGGCGCUUUCCCCAUGCCUAGAACUGUGCAGACACCGCAGGCGCUCCGUGCAAUUGUUGAACCGACAGCAAGCAGCACUCCUCGCAAUCACAAACGCCUCCUGAUCGCGUAACUACAGGCCCCCGGAUAACCACAGUUGUUCCUUUCCCCCAUUCCAAGUCUCUCCCAUCCCCUCUGGGUACACACGUACUGCUGUAAUCACCCACGAAUGCCCUUGGCCAUUCCCUCUUCUGCGUCUCUCUGGAGGGGGUAGGGCUGACACUGCGCCCUCCUCCCCCAAGCCUGUGCUUGGACGGGUCAGGCAGAAAAACCAUCCCCCAAGGUCACCAGAGCUCUUCAGCAGGCGCCCCCGGGAGCUGAUUUAUUGGCGGCUUAUUUGGAGAAAUGCUAUCGCUCUUAGAUUCCGGAGGGGGGAAAAAACACGCUCGCGGUGGACUUUAACCUUGGGCUGAAACCACAGCGCUUUGUUUUCAGAGGUGCUUCCUAGGGCGCCGCGGCGGGGCUGGGGCCUAGCGGGGGAAGCUCGGCCGGAAUGUGGCCCAGCAGCCUCUCCACUCCCAGGCUGCGCUCCCGCCUGCCCUGGCAAGCGCUCAAAUUCCUCUGGGCCCGGCCGGAAGCCCUCGGUCCCUCCAAAAGUGCUUCUAGAAAUUCUAGGAAGGAGCCGAGGCUCCUUGGAUGAGGGCGUCCUUGGAGCGAGGUUUCCAAACCCUCCCAUCCCAAGCCCCCGGCAUGUGCCACCCGCCGUUAGCAGUCGUGUUACUGGCAUGGUGAGGUUUUCGGGAGGCACCCAGGAAGGGCUGAAUGCUUCGGUUUCUGUGCACCUUAAGUCCGGAGCAAAACCCCGCUGGAGGUGGUUGGCUCCGAUCGCGUGCAUGGUUUGCUUGGCUGAUGUAAGACACCAGCGCGAAGGCCUGUUCCCGCCCCUCUGGCAGAGAUAAAUUAAGCGUUAUUAUUGCAAAUGCACCCUCUCUGGAUCUGCUCCCCACGACUGUUCCGUGUGUCAAAACUGCCGCUUCCACCAGGCAGCCACAAGGGCAAGACCAAUUACCGCUUUCCCCAUGGUUGUGCCAAAGCACGCAGCCAACGAGGGCUCCAAGCCGGGACCCCAGUUGAGAAAAACCUGGGGCAUCCGGCGGCACCGACGGUGGGAACCAGAUGAGCUCCCGCCUCCGCGCAUGGUGCCCACAGUCACCCCCCCCGCCUUGGUCCUCCUAUGCCAAAAAAAAAAAAAAAGGCUCAUCAUGCGCCCGCAGAGGGCUCUGAGGAGACACGGGAUGAAGGCAGGGUCCGCGGAGAAGUGGCAAGCUAAAUUCUGAGAAGCCGCUUCGACCCUGACCCUGGCGUCGCCCCUCCGUAGUGCAGGUGGCACCGGAGUUGGGCUCGAGUGGACAGCUGCACGCCCAUCCCAGUCUCACCGAGCCUUUCUAAGAGGAAUGCCAGGCCCGGGCGCCCCUACCCCAAGGCGGUGAUCCUGUGAAGCUCGGGCCACCUCAGGGUCCAGCGCCCUCAGGGAUGGAUGGUGCUGGCACCGAGGGACGAGGCUGUUCCCUCUCUUUGGUGAACGGAGAAGCUCUUGGCGUGGUUCCCUGCGCAGUCUUGGGGUUCCCAGGCCGUGAUGGGGUGAGCAGGGCGUGCGGCGUGGCCCGGGAUGCGAGACCAGUCUGGAGCACCCCCGCGUGAGCGACGGGAAGGAGGGCCCGCCCGGAGAUUUAUGGCCGCAGCCGGCCCCCUGCGCACCGAGCGCGUCUCCGUCCUUUCCCAGCCAAACAGUGGAGUGGAGGACCCGACCCCGGCUGGAGGAAGAGGCCAGGGCCGGAGGCGGGGCCGAGAGGAGCUGGAAUCCAUCGGGGCUGGGCCUGGCGCUUCAGUCCCAAUCUGCCCGCCUUGCGCCCUGGUCUCGGUGGGGUGUGGGGCGAUGGCGCCGCGUCCCUGGUCUUCCAGGCAGGUUCGGGCAGCUCCCGGCUGGGUUGGCCCGGCCGCGACUUGGCGCUGUAUCUUGGCGCUGUAUCGCGGCUGGGUCUGUCGCAGCGAGGGGACGGCGAACGUGGCUUUCCCGGGCACAGCCUCUCCGGGUUUUAGCCGCGCCCGCCAGACACGGGACCUGCGGAAACCGGAGCUUAAGACACCCAGCCACAUGGCCUCUGAGCGGGCAGUAGAAGCCGGCAAUCCCUCAGGGGGUGCCCUUCACCGAGAUGCCAGCGAAGAGUGGGGGGCUUAGGUCUCUGCCUGAAAAGCGGUUGGGGAGAUGGGUGAAGUGGCUCGGGUGGCCGCGCCAAGGACAGGAUGCUGGCUUUUUCUUCCCCCGCUGGGGGAAGGAUAAGGGGAGAACGUGUCCAAGCGGCCAGCAACACCAGAAUUUGGGAAGAACCGGGUUCAACGCCGAAUUGAGGGAGGCCGUCUGAUCGCGGGAGCUGCACCAGUCGGGGCUGAGCCUGCGCCAACAAAAGCGCGACAGGGGUGACGGCCGGGCUCAAGGUUGGCCUGUCCUUUGGUUUUAAAACAAAGAGGGAGAAUUUUGUCAGUCGGGACGCGUCCAGGGAGCAGAGGCCGGAGCCGGUAGCCUAGGAACACAGGAAAGGCCUCGGCUCCGGUGGCCCAGACUGGCUGCGGAGAAGCACGGUGGGCCGGGCCUCGGCUAGCCAGGGCAGAUUCUCCCGCAACUGCGGUGGUUUGGGGCUACAAGGAAGACCCACCCCGCUCCCCCGAGUCGAUUUUUCACCCAGUCAGUAAAACACACACACACACCCACACACACACACCCACCCACCCCAACUGCGUCCACAGGGUUUUUGGCCACCUAUCCCGCUGGGUAAACAAAAGUGUGAGGGGGCGGGGAGGGGGAAGGGGAAGGGACGGAAUGGGGGUGGGGCGCGUAAGAUGGCGGCUGGACCUGGUGGCCUAUGGCCUGUGCCCUAUGGCCGUGGCACCCAGGCCUGGUUUUUACAUUUAAAUGUGGCCCACCAUACUGGGGAGGGCGUUUCCCUGGACCGUGAACCCUUGUUAGGGAUGUCCUAGAGGCUCCCCUUUACGAAUGGAGGCACCUGGGCUGCACCCACUACUUCGCUUGGGAUCCGUCCUCCGCCCCAAAAUGGCUCCCAGUCGCUGUUUACUCAGCGACUGCGGGGACACCAGGGCGCGGGGCUGGGGAGCAGGCGGAGAUCAGGGCGCGUAUAGAUCGGCCUGGGCAGGCGGCCUCUCCGCGUAGCCCGCCCGCGCCCCCACGCACGCGGCAUCCCUGGAAAACCAGCGUGGGCAGGAUGCAUCCUGGCCGCCCCCACCACCACCGCGUCCCCAGACCCUGCGCCCUGGCCGGGCUCCGGUGGCUGCAGGGCCGCGCAAAUGUGGAAUGGGUGCCGGGGGCGGGUAUGGAAGGGGCCUGCGCGAGGGGGCUGGGCGCACAAAGCCCAGGCACCACAGCCCUAAUGAAAUACCGGCUGGGUUCGUCACGCUGCCGAGGCGCACACUUGAAAAAUGCAAACGCCAUUGGCAAAUCCAGGGCAAACAGGCAGAAUUUUUAUUAGCAACUAAAUGAUUUAUGGCACACGUACCCCGCCGUCACAAUUACGGCGUCUCGGAGCAUCCAGGGGGUGAAAACAUUAAACAUUUAUAAAAAUGG